rnacentral:tmRNA from 1 species
GGGGCUGACUGGUUUUGACAGCAGGCAGAGGUGGUAUGUAAGCAUGCAGGGUUUCGAUUGUUUUCCCUUAAUUAAGCAAUCAAAAUUGUAAUUGGCGAAGAUAACUACGCUCUUGCUGCGUAACCGAAUUAAGUAGGUUGCCGCUUAAUCCCGAUACGAGGUAUCGGGACAAGACAUCUCCCGGAUGGUUUCUUUCUCUACCGGUUCGAUUGUGAGGUGCAAGCAACAGAGAAAUAGGAAACGACAAGCUUUGGGUCGAUUCCGAAAUUAAAGAAGCUAAGGCAAUGGUCGGUGGCCUUGAUCCAGCUCUUGCACGAAAAUUAAGUCGAGGCUAAGCAUGUAGAAAGCGUAUGGCUUCCCUGUUUGGACCCGGGUUCGAUUCCCGGCAGCUCCACUU